AUAAAGGCAGCGAUCGUCCCCGCCCCGUUCCCUCCGCACUGCGCAUGCGCAGACUCCCAUUUCAUCCUCACUGAGCAUGCGCGAAACCCCGCACGCUCACAGCGCGCAUGCGCAGCCUCACGUUCCUCCAUACUGAGCAUGCGCAUGCUUGCUUGUUGCUAAGCAACCACAUAGCGACAGCCUUCUCGCAAGUACGCAUGCGCUGUUGCUAGGCGACCACGCGUUCUGGACGAACACGCAUGCGCUGUUGCUAGGCGACACGUAACGCAUGCGCAUUACACCGCUCGGACGGCGUUUAGCUCAACGCGCAUGCGCGGUUGCUAAGCAACCGCACACCACGCCGUCUCCGCAGCAACCGGCGCAUGCGCAGUGGCCGCGCGGGCGGCCAUUUUGAGAUGGCGCCGCCAUUUUGGGGCAAAAUCGGGCGGUUUUGGGGUUUUUGGGGUAAAAAAAGGAGAAUUUUGGAGGCACCGAUCGCCAUCUCGGGUCGUGGGCGGGGAUUUGCGAUGUUCUGGGGGUAAUUGCAGCUAUUUUGGGGUGAUUUGGCCCCUUUUUGUGUACAGGCAUCUAUUUUGGGUGAAAAAAUGCGAUUUUUGGUAAAAAUUAACAAUUUUGGGUAAUAAAAAUCUGUUUUGGGGUGAAUUCGUCCAUUUUUGGGGUUUUUUUUUGUCGCAUUUUGAUACAAGGAUCGAUUUUGGGGUCAAAACAGGGAUUCGAUUAUUGGGGAAUGGAAUCCAAUUUUGGGGGCAGAAAUGGCAAUUUUGGGCAAAAUACACAAUUUUGGGAAAAAAUGACACAUUUUGGGGUAAAAAAUGCCAUUUUUGGGGUCAUUUUUUCCCAUUUUAUCCCAUUUUGUGGGAAAGGUCUCCAUUUUGUGGUCAGAAAUGCCAUUUUUGGGUCCAAAAUUGCCAUUUUUGGGAACUGGAAUCCCGUUUUGGGGUCAGAAAUGCCAUUUUUGGGGUCCAAAAUUGCCAUUUUUGGGAGCUGGAAUCCCAUUUUGGGGCCAAAAAUGCCAUUUUUGGGUCAUUUGUUCCCAUUUUAUCCCAUUUUGGGGCAAAAAUUCACCAUUUUGGGCCAUUUUUGGUUUAAAAAUUGCCAUUUUUGGGAACUGGAAUCCCAUUUUGGGGCCAAAAAUGCCAUUUUUUGGUCAUUUCUUCCCAUUUUAUCCCAUUUUGGGGGAAAAGUCUCCAUUUUGGGGUCAGAAAUGUCAUUUUUGGGUCCAAAAUUGCCAUUUUUGGGAACUGCAAUCGCAUUUUGGGGUCAGAAAUGCCAUUUUUGGGUCAUUUGUUCCCAUUUUAUCCCAUUUUGGGGCAAAAAUUCACCUUUUUGGGGUCAGAAAUGCCAUUUUUGGGGUCAUUUGUUCCCAUUUUAUCCAUUUUUGGGGGAAAAGUCUCCAUUUUU
rnacentral:lncRNA from 1 species